rnacentral:rRNA from 1 species
UACGAAGGGGGCUAGCGUUGCUCGGAAUCACUGGGCGUAAAGCGCACGUAGGCGGCUUCUUAAGUCAGGGGUGAAAUCCUGGAGCUCAACUCCAGAACUGCCUUUGAUACUGAGUAGCUUGAGUCCGGGAGAGGUGAGUGGAACUGCGAGUGUAGAGGUGAAAUUCGUAGAUAUUCGCAAGAACACCAGUGGCGAAGGCGGCUCACUGGCCCGGUACUGACGCUGAGGUGCGAAAGCCAGGGGAGCAAACGGG